CUCGCUUCCAGGUUUUUUUUCGUCCCACCUCACAUGGUUUUUUUUGGUACCUCCUCCCACCUCUGACUUAUCCACCAGAAACCAAAAAAACCUCCUCCUGAGGCCCCAACCCGCACCCAUCCACGUACAAAAAAAUAGACCUACGAAGGUUAACCAACGAAAAAAGACCUACGAAGGUUAACCAGCGACGAAAAAACCUAAACCUAUCGCCCGCUCCCUCGCGCCCCUGUUGCUCCCUCCUCAAUCCCGAUCUGGAUCGAGGGGACGAGGAGCUCCUGCCUCCCCGACGGCCGGCCUCCUCCUCGCCCCGCCGCUGCAUCCGGUGCCGCCACGGGCUCUGGAGCCAGGGAAGCCAUGGCCUGAGCUCGGCCUCGAGGUCCCCCCGCCGUCUCCUGCAGCUUCUGCCCCGCCGCCUCAACGCCCGAGCUCGCCAUCACACCAACCUCGGCGCCGCGCCGCCGCCGGCUCUGGUCGCCUCCACCUCCGCUCCAGGCAACCCUCGGUCGCCGGCUCGCUGGAGCACGACGGUAGACGAUGGAUGCCCUGGUUGUGUGUGACGGUUGCAGUUCUUACGCGCAAGCUAGGGUUGGAGCCGCCAGCUCUUCAUCUUGCCCGCCGGCGGCGAGUCUUCCCGUCCCGCACUGCCGCCUCCCCGUUAUCACAGCAUGGUCAAAACAAUGGUGCCUUCACCCUUGCUCGUGCCUCAACCCACAUGGUCAUCUUUGAGACGUGGUAUUCAGUCACAUGACAGAGUUCUCUUUAUCCUUGAGGUCAGGUGCGGCAACUAGCGACAUGUGCUGGAACUUCUGGCUUCGCUGGCGGCGGCAUCACCUGCAUCGACCUCUCCCUGGUCGCCUUCGAGAGUGUGUGCGGCCGACCAUCAAGCUUGUUAUGACGCACUUUGAAUUUCCGAGCAAGUCGCAGCCUUUUCAGAUUCAUCAACACAGGUUACAUCAGUAGUCAAUAUGGUUCAGAUGCAUAAUAGUACGUACUUCAUUUCCUUUUUGUUGUGUACGGUGUCCUACAACAUGGAUCAUAUAUAUCGGUUAUCUUUCAGGUUCAGUUUGCUGUGGCGAAUUCUUCUUGAAUUUGUUGCAGCAAACUUGUGGUCAUGUAUGGUUUUUAGUUUUGUAAGCAUGCAUAGUUUAGAAGUUAGAAAGCUCGUUCAUGUAUUGUUCUAAACUGAAAGUUUAAGUGGCUUUUCCACCCAUGGUAUUGUGGUGGUCAUAAUAGCACACCUCACAAUUAUUAUGGCCAGAUCUACAAGCACUGAGCGUUGUGUUUUUUAGCCCCCUCUGUUUCUCCUGGGCAUCAAUCUAUGCGCAACAAGCUCUUCAGUGCUUGAUGACAAAUAAAGGUUGCAUCUUAGAUAUUUGCUUGAUUUGAAUGAGCCAUUUUGCUGUCAGCUAAACUGUUAAAAGUCAGAUGUAAGAUUAUGUUUCUUGGCACAUGAGUUAUUUUUCAGUCAACGCGUGGCGAGUCCACUUCGAACUGAUAUAUGCACUUUUUAUUUGAAACUGAACCACCAUGGUUUAAUUUUAUUUUCAUUUGGACAAGUUACCCCAAGUAUCAUCAGUUCAUGAUGACUGGUUUGGUGUGAUGAAUUGAUCCUGGUGCUGAUUUAAGAGUUUUUUAUGACGCUGUCUUGUAAGGGAGUAAGGUCUGGUAUCUAUAUGGCUGUUAUUUUAGCUCUUACAGAUUGCCAUAUAUGACAUGCUAAUUGUUUUUAGCUCUUGAUAUAGUUAAACUUUUUUUUUCGAAACGGAGGCAAAAGAUUUGCCUCAUCCAUUAAAUGGGAGGAGAAUAGAGUUAAACUUUGGAUGCACCAGUGCCUGAUGCAUAUGUUUGUUUACUUGGUUUGAACUCUGAAUGAUAUGUUGUUAUCCUGCAUGCAUGCCUGAUGAGUUGGUGCUGCUGGUAUUUUGAGGAGGCAAGUUGUGGUUUUACUCCUGGCCCUGAGAAGGGUGAACUAGGCCAUAGCGAGGGCGCCUUCAGGAACAUCGAGUCAGGGUGCCUCACUUUCUAUUUCAGUCUGCGAGGUAAUGAAGGCAAAAAAAAGUUUCUACUCGCCCUGUUCUUGCAACUAAACAGAGAAAAACUGUGUGGUUACUGAAGCAUUAUGGUCUAUAGUUACCGAAGCAUUGCAUUUGUUGAGAAAGUGUUCCUUAUACCAUGUAAGUAGGGACAAUUACUAUUUAACUAGGUACAAUUAAUAUUUAACAAGCCACAGUUGAUCAAGCAGUCAAUGCUUAAAUAUGCCCGUACUCUGUCGUAUCCAGGAUGGAGCUUUGCUAGCUUUUGAGUUGGAUUCUUUUGACUGCACCUAAAUAUGACAAGCCGACAGUAAAUGAGCUCAUUUUAAAAAACUGCAGUUUAAAGGAAAUUAUUACAAUAUGUAUAUCAAUUCCAACAUUGCUAUCUGAAGGAUGAUUUAAGGACUAUUUGUCUCUGAUGGCUUUCCCUGUUUGGCUCCCUUUUCUGUGAGUUGACUCUACAGUUCUAGGAUCUUCUCUGUAACCAUAAAUUCACAGCUUAGCAAAAGUAUAUAUAUACUUGCUAGACCUUCUCAUUACACUCUUUCACUUUUUUGGACUAAUACUAUCCUGUAUAGACCUAAUAACAGAAGACAUGGGAAAUGCUUUUGUAACAUGAUGUUUUUUUUUGUUAGAUGCUCUGUUUAUUUAGUGUCGUUGAUCCAAAAACUUGAAAGUGUAGAAAUGUUCAUGCAUGGGACUAUAGAACCAAGUAUUUCUCGAUUUGGUGAUGCUUAAUUCAGAGUUCUUAUGCAUCAGAUUGGAGUGUUAACACAAACCUGUUAUUUAUUUCACUUCAUAUGAGUUAAUGCCAAGGCCUUUUUUGUGUCCCCUCUAAUCAUUGCAUUUGUAUCUUGAUCAUUGUAUUACGAGAAGCAAAAUAUUUCUCAUGUUUUGCUCAGUGUGUCUACUUAUCUUAUUUAUUAUAUUAACUAUUUUUUGAUGAUAUUUCACAAGAAUGACAUUGUUAGAUUUAGAUUCAUUAGGUUUCAACACAUUUGAUGGUAGGCCAUUUCAAUAAUUCUAUUUGUUUCAGGCAUUGGUAGAUUGUGUUACAACUGAAGAGUUUCUUGUGCUAAUACUUGCAGAUCUCGACACACCCUGAACAAUGAGCACAUGUUACCAGCCACAUUCCACACAGGAUGUGUUCUUUUCAAAACAAAGAUACCCUGAUACAUGAUUAUUCCUCUUUCAAGUUCUUGAUCCUUGAAGAUACUUGCUAGGUUUCUAGCUGAUUUUUUGGUAGUAUAAGGCUAUAAGCUCGAUGUAUAUGGCCUGAAUAUGAUCUGAUUCAGAGUACAUUGUGUUCUGAAGCUUUUUACUGUAUGGUUCUCUCUUGAAAGAAUUCAAGCCAUUGUUCAAUGGGAGAGAAUAGUUGUAAUCCUCAAAUAACUGUCGUACCUAUUCAUCAGCUGACACAAUUGCCACCGAGAUCAUUAUUUUCCUUUUUUUUCAGGUUUUCAACAUCACGAAUUUCAUACUUAUGGAGUGGAGCUACCAAAAUAUCUAUUGAGGAAAUAUGUCGAAGCACAGAAUAUAUUCCAUAUGCAGUGGACUAAUAGAACGACACAACACAUAAAAAGAGGAGUAUAAGUGGAAACCUUUCUUUCUCUUUAAAUUCUUGAGGACUGUAACAUUAUGAUGAAGGUGGAACCAUAGAGAGAUGUGUAUUUUUAAUUGAGAUAUUUUCAGGAGUACCUUUGCAAAGCUGAUAUAUCUUUCUUUUACAAGAUAUGGUUGCACUUGCUUCAUCUACAUAGGCCGUCUGGAAUGCCAUGAGGCCGGGAUUUGUGUAGGAAAUCUUCAAAGCUAUUAUAUUGGUCUCAAGAAACUUGCAAUACAUCAAUGCAUUUUUAUUUUUA